rnacentral:rRNA from 1 species
AUGGGGUGACUGCGUACCUUUUGUAUAAUGGGUCAGCGACUUAUAUUCUGUAGCAAGGUUAACCGUAUAGGGGAGCCGUAGGGAAACCGAGUCUUAACUGGGCGAAUGAGUUGCAGGGUAUAGACCCGAAACCCGGUGAUCUAUCCAUGGGCAGGUUGAAGGUUGGGUAACACUAACUGGAGGACCGAACCGACUAAUGUUGAAAAAUUAGCGGAUGACUUGUGGAUGGGGGUGAAAGGCCAAUCAAACCGGGAGAUAGCUGGUUCUCCCCGAAAGCUAUUUAGGUAGCGCCUCGUGAAUUCAUCUUCGGGGGUAGAGCACUGUUUCGACUAGGGGGUCAUCCCGACUUACCAACUCGAUGCAAACUGCGAAUACCGAAGAAUGUUAUCACGGGAGACACACGGCGGGUGCUAACGUCCGUCGUGAAGAGGGAAACAACCCAGACCGCCAGCUAAGGUCCCAAAGUCAUGGUUAAGUGGGAAACGAAGUGGGAAGGCUCAGACAGCCAGGAUGUUGGCUUAGAAGCAGCCAUCAUUUAAAGAAAGCGUAAUAGCUCACUGGUCGAGUCGGCCCGCGCGGAAGAUGUAACGGGGCUAAACCAUGCACCGAAGCUGCGGCAGCGACACUUAGGUGUUGUUGGGUAGGGGAGCGUUCUGUAAGCCUGCGAAGGUGUACUGUGAGGUAUGCUGGAGGUAUCAGAAGUGCGAAUGCUGACAUAAGUAACGAUAAUGCGGGUGAAAAACCCGCACGCCGGAAGACCAAGGGUUCCUGUCCAACGUUAAUCGGGGCAGGGUGAGUCGACCCCUAAGGCGAGGCUGAAAAGCGUAGUCGAUGGGAAACGGGUUAAUAUUCCCGUACUGGUGGUAACUGCGAUGGGGGAACGGAGAAGGCUAGGUUGUCCGGGCGACGGUCGUCCCGGUUCAAGCAUGUAGGCAGAGUGAUUAGGCAAAUCCGGUCACUUAAUGCUGAGGUGUGAUGACGAGCCACUAAGGUGGUGAAGCAAUUGAUGCCCUGCUUCCAGGAAAAGCCUCUAAGCUUCAGGUUACCAACAAUCGUACCCCAAACCGACACAGGUGGUCAGGUAGAGAAUACUCAGGCGCUUGAGAGAACUCGGGUGAAGGAACUAGGCAAAAUGGUGCCGUAACUUCGGGAGAAGGCACGCUGGCGGUAAGUGAAGUCCCUUGCGGACGGAGCCGAAGCCAGUCGAAGAUACCAGCUGGCUGCAACUGUUUAUUAAAAACACAGCACUGUGCAAACACGAAAGUGGACGUAUACGGUGUGACGCCUGCCCGGUGCUGGAAGGUUAAUUGAUGGGGUUAUCCUUAGGGAGAAGCUCUUGAUCGAAGCCCCAGUAAACGGCGGCCGUAACUAUAACGGUCCUAAGGUAGCGAAAUUCCUUGUCGGGUAAGUUCCGACCUGCACGAAUGGCGUAAUGAUGGCCAGGCUGUCUCCACCCGAGACUCAGUGAAAUUGAACUCGCUGUGAAGAUGCAGUGUACCCGCGGCAAGACGGAAAGACCCCGUGAACCUUUACUAUAGCUUGACACUGAACAUUGAGCCUUGAUGUGUAGGAUAGGUGGGAGACUAAGAAGUGUGGACGCCAGUCUGCAUGGAGUCAACCUUGAAAUACCACCCUUUAACGUUUGAUGUUCUAACCUAGGCCCGUAAUCCGGGUCGGGGACCGUGUCUGGUGGGUAGUUUGACUGGGGCGGUCUCCUCCUAAAGAGUAACGGAGGAGCACGAAGGUUGGCUAAGCAUGGUCGGACAUCAUGCGGUUAGUGCAAAGGCAUAAGCCAGCUUGACUGUGAGAGUGACGGCUCGAGCAGGUACGAAAGUAGGUCUUAGUGAUCCGGUGGUUCUGAAUGGAAGGGCCAUCGCUCAACGGAUAAAAGGUACUCCGGGGAUAACAGGCUGAUACCGCCCAAGAGUUCAUAUCGACGGCGGUGUUUGGCACCUCGAUGUCGGCUCAUCACAUCCUGGGGCUGAAGUAGGUCCCAAGGGUAUGGCUGUUCGCCAUUUAAAGUGGUACGCGAGCUGGGUUUAGAACGUCGUGAGACAGUUCGGUCCCUAUCUGCCGUGGGCGUUGGAAGAUUGAGAGGGGUUGCUCCUAGUACGAGAGGACCGGAGUGAACGCACCACUGGUGUUCGGGUUGUCAUGCCAAUGGCAUUGCCCGGUAGCUAAGUGCGGAAGAGAUAACCGCUGAAAGCAUCUAAGCGGGAAACUUGCCUCGAGAUGAGUCUUCCCUGUCACCUAGAGUGACCUAAAGGAACGUUUAAGACUAAGACGUUGAUAGGCUGGGUGUGUAAGCGUAGCGAUACGUUGAGCUAACCAGUACUAAUGAACCGUGAGGCUUAACCUG